rnacentral:rRNA from 1 species
AACGAACGCUGGCGGCAUGCCUAACACAUGCAAGUCGAACGAGACCUUCGGGUCUAGUGGCGCACGGGUGCGUAACGCGUGGGAACCUGCCCUUAGGUUCGGAAUAACUCCCCGAAAGGGGUGCUAAUACCGGAUAAUGUCUUCGGACCAAAGAUUUAUCGCCUUGGGAUGGGCCGGCGUUGGAUUAGCUAGUUGGUAGGGUAAAAGCCUACCAAGGCGACGAUCCAUAGCUGGUAUGAGAGGAUGAUCAGCCACACUGGGACUGAGACACGGCCCAGAUUCCUACGGGAGGCAGCAGUGGGGAAUAAUGGACACUGGGCGAAAGCCUGAUCCAGCAAUGCCGCGUGAGUGAUGAAGGCCUUAGGGUUGUAAAGCUCUUUUACCCGGGAUGAUAAUGAGAGUACCGGGAGAAUAAGCACCGGCUAACUCCGU